UAACACUAACUGGAGGACCGAACCGACUAAUGUUGAAAAAUUAGCGGAUGACUUGUGGCUGGGGGUGAAAGGCCAAUCAAACCGGGAGAUAGCUGGUUCUCCCCGAAAGCUAUUUAGGUAGCGCCUCGUGAAUUCAUCUCCGGGGGUAGAGCACUGUUUCGGCAAGGGGGUCAUCCCGACUUACCAACCCGAUGCAAACUGCGAAUACCGGAGAAUGUUAUCACGGGAGACACACGGCGGGUGCUAACGUCCGUCGUGAAGAGGGAAACAACCCAGACCGCCAGCUAAGGUCCCAAAGUCAUGGUUAAGUGGGAAACGAUGUGGGAAGGCCCAGACAGCCAGGAUGUUGGCUUAGAAGCAGCCAUCAUUUAAAGAAAGCGUAAUAGCUCACUGGUCGAGUCGGCCUGCGCGGAAGAUGUAACGGGGCUAAACCAUGCACCGAAGCUGCGGCAGCGACGCUUAUGCGUUGUUGGGUAGGGGAGCGUUCUGUAAGCCUGUGAAGGUGGCCUGUGAGGGUUGCUGGAGGUAUCAGAAGUGCGAAUGCUGACAUAAGUAACGAUAAAGCGGGUGAAAAGCCCGCUCGCCGGAAGACCAAGGGUUCCUGUCCAACGUUAAUCGGGGCAGGGUGAGUCGAC
rnacentral:rRNA from 1 species